CCUACGGGCGGCAGCAGUGGGGAAUAUUGGACAAUGGGGGGAACCCUGAUCCAGCCAUGCCGCGUGUGUGAAGAAGGCCCUCGGGUUGUAAAGCACUUUCAGUGAGGAAGAACGCCUGGUGGUUAAUACCCAUCAGGAAAGACAUCACUCACAGAAGAAGCACCGGCUAACUCCGUGCCAGCAGCCGCGGUAAUACGGAGGGUGCGAGCGUUAAUCGGAAUUACUGGGCGUAAAGCGCGCGUAGGUGGCUUGAUAAGCCGGUUGUGAAAGCCCCGGGCUCAACCUGGGAACGGCAUCCGGAACUGUCAAGCUAGAGUGCAGGAGAGGAAGGUAGAAUUCCCGGUGUAGCGGUGAAAUGCGUAGAGAUCGGGAGGAAUACCAGUGGCGAAGGCGGUCUUCUGGACUGACACUGACACUGAGGUGCGAAAGCGUGGGUAGCAAACAGGAUUAGAUACCCGAGUAGUC
rnacentral:rRNA from 1 species